UGGGGAAUAUUGGACAAUGGGGGAAACCCUGACGCAGCAACGCCGCGUGAGUGAUGAAGGCCUUCGGGUCGUAAAGCUCUGUCAGAGGGAAAGAAGUGUAGGGCGGAUAAUACCCGUUUUACUUGACGGUACCCUCAAAGGAAGCACCGGCUAACUCCGUG
rnacentral:rRNA from 1 species